GACGGAAGGUGCAAACGUUGUUCGUAAUUACUGGGCGUAAAGGGCGCGUAGGCGGCCUGUUAAGUCGAACGUGAAAUCCCCGGGCUCAACCCGGGAACUGCGUCCGAUACUGGCAGGCUUGAAUUCGGGAGAGGGAUGUGGAAUUCCAGGUGUAGCGGUGAAAUGCGUAGAUAUCUGGAGGAACACCGGUGGCGAAGGCGGCAUCCUGGACCGAUAUUGACGCUGAUGCGCGAAAGCCAGGGGAGCAAACGGG
rnacentral:rRNA from 1 species